GCCGGGUCCUUGACUGCAUCAUGAGAGCUUUCUGGACCACAUCUCAGAGCAGUUGAAUGUAACCUUGUUCUACAUUCCUGUGCUCACUGGAUACAACUUGCUGACAUCUGAUCUCUAUAACUGUUAACUUCUUGACUCUAAUGGCAAAGAAGAUCCGCUUGUAGCAAACCUUGGUUUACCAGAUGUCUCUAAGUGCUACAUGUUGGAGUCACAGGAGCCCACGGAGGCCAGAACAGACCACCCAAUCCCGUGAAGAUGAAGUUGCAGGCAGAUUCUGUGGGUGCCGGGUCUUCUGCAAGAGCAGCAUGCACUCCUAACCACUCAACCAGCGCUCCCGCUCCAACACACAGUUUCUUAAAGGAUUGGUUGCUGACGUCCACUCAGAUGUCUCUGCUCUAGAGAAUUCAUCAUGGAGAAUGUCAAGAGAACCCAUCUGUGUAUUUCCAACAUUUGAUCCACACACAUUAUAAAUCCUUUUAGCUUGAGAGUUACCUUCAUUACAUCGUGUCAUUCAUUUCUAGAGCAACAAUAAGAGGAAGGAUAAUUGUUUCCAUUUUACAGCUUAGGAAAUGGGCACCCUAAGUGGU